UACGUAGGGCGCAAGCGUUAUCCGGAAUUAUUGGGCGUAAAGAGCUCGUAGGCGGUUUGUCGCGUCUGCCGUGAAAGUCCGGGGCUCAACUCCGGAUCUGCGGUGGGUACGGGCAGACUAGAGUGCAGUAGGGGAGACUGGAAUUCCUGGUGUAGCGGUGAAAUGCGCAGAUAUCAGGAGGAACACCGAUGGCGAAGGCAGGUCUCUGGGCUGUAACUGACGCUGAGGAGCGAAGGCAUGGGGAGCGAACAGG
rnacentral:rRNA from 1 species